UUGCUUUGGCAGUACAUAUACUACUAAGAUUGGAAUGAUUCAGAGAAAAUUAGCAUGGCCACUGUGCAAGGAUGACAUGCAAAUUCGUGAAUCAUUCCAUUAAAAA